rnacentral:pre_miRNA from 1 species
CUUGAGGGAAGGGGGGUCCUUCAGCCCAGAUUGCGAGAGGGCGCAGGCCAGGCCGAGGGACCCCACCAGUGCAUG